UGGGGAAUAUUGCACAAUGGGGGAGACCCUGAUGCAGCCAUGCCGCGUGUGUCAAGAAGGCCUUCGGGUUGUAAAGCACUUUCAGCAGUGAGGAAGGUCGUGUACUUAAUACGUGCACGGCUUGACGUUAGCUGCAGAAGAAGCACCGGCUACCUCCGUGCCAGCAGCCGCGGUAAUACGGAGGGUGCGAGCGUUAAUCGGAAUUACUGGGCGUACAGCGCAUGCAGGCGGUUUGUUAAGUCAGAUGUGAAAGCCCGGGGCUCAACCUCGGAAC
rnacentral:rRNA from 1 species